UGCCUGCAGGGCCGGGGAGACCAUGGCCGAGCCCGGGGGGCUGUGCGGGCCUGCGGCGCCCACGCGGGGGCCAGCGGGCGGGAACCGGGGGCCCCGGAGCGAAGAGCGUCUACCUUCCCAGGGCUUCACAAAGCGCAGGCACCGGCCGCCGCGCCCCCCCGCCCUGGACGGCCUGCGGUGGACGUUCGUGAAGAAGGGCCUGGAUGACUUCCGGAGGGGCUGCCCGCCGUGCGAGGGUCUGCUCACUCGCGGUCCUCAGGAGGCCUUUCUCCCCCAGAUCCGUCCCCCAGCUCGCCGACCCGCCCCAGAGAAGAGGCAGCGCAGGUGGCCCGAGGGAGCAGCCCCGUUUCCUGAGCUGUGCCCUGCGCAGCGGGCGCGGGGGGCCUUCCUGGCGGACGUGGAAGCCCAGCGGACGCCGCACCCUUUGGCUCUCUACCCUAAUCUGGGAGAGGACAUGCCCGUUGAGCUCUUAUUCAAGGUGCUGGAGGUGCUGGAUCCCGACAGGAAACUGGAGGACACGUGGGCUUAUUGUCAGGGUGUCAGGAAAAGAGCAAAGGAACCAGCCAAACUCUUAAGAAAACUUUCCACCCAAGACGACCCGGGCCUUCCCAAGAAGACUGCUGUGUCACAUCCAGGUCAAUGGCUUUAUGAAGAAAAGAAGCCACAUCAAACAGAUUUGCUCCAUGAAGAUGGUCCUCUUAUCCAUGAAAAUGUGCGCAAAGGAGUUAGGGACUUCUGCAACUGGGCUACUACUUUUGGAAGUUCCAACAUUGAUGAAGAGUUCAUCCUGAAGCAGUUUGACAUUGACUGUCAGAGCAAGUCCAGCCAUGAUGUGUCCCCCCCGACCAACCAGGCUCCUCCGGAGCUAAAGAAGAGAGCGGGGUUAAAGAAACUGCAGGAACCACCGUUUUUCCAAAAACCAGACUAUGAGCAGAAACUCCAGAAACCACAGAAUCCUCAUAAACCAAAGUGUGUGAAGAUGAGAUAUGGAGCCUGGUAUCUGAACACCAAGUUGUGGAAAAAGCAAAGAGCAGACGAACCUUUGGUUGACCCCAAGGUGUCAUGUAAAGCUCAAGAUGAGAAUUUUAAAAGGGAGAUGCAGGAACAGGAGUCGCUUGCUGACCUUCAUGGAACCACUGCCUUUAAGGAUUUCGUUCUAAGCAGGGGCUACAGGAUGCCAAGUUUCCUUGCGAAGAUGUAUGUCAGGAAGGAGCGCAAAUGACUCCAUUUUAAAUGAGGUUUCCUUUUGUUAAUUUCCAGCCUCCGAGGGCUCUUUGCUCCUACAAACAUGCCCAGAUUUUGCUGCCACUCUCUGGGAGGAAUUUCCAGUCUCUCUCCUGAAACAACACGCCCCCUGUUCCAGCUUCCUGCCAGUGCCUCCAAUUGAACACAACCCGCCAGAGGCAUUAUUCCUCCCGUUUCUACUGAAUCGCCUUCCUUUUUUGUUUCUGUCUUGCUAGGCUCAUAGGACGCCUAUAGACAGGCAACACUGUCUGCAACCGAAUAUGAUAAACAUGGUCCAGUUAGGGCCGUGAGUUCGGUUUUGGAUCAAGUAGCCACAGACUUCCAAGCAAUAUGGUAGUAAGUUGAGUACUGCUUUUUUUUUUUUUUUUUCUUUUUAAAGCAGCAACACAAAUGGAUGAGUCAACAUUUAAGUUUGGAAAAGCCAAAAGGAAGGCCAAAUAAUGUUUUUUUAAAAAAAUGUUUUGUGAGAAAUCUGAUACAACAGAAAACGAAAUCUGGUGGGUGGAAAGAACUACAUUAUUUAUUGGUUAUAUUUUUAACCAGUAGCAAUUGAUGACAACAAUAAACCUUUACUAAGAACCUUC